rnacentral:misc_RNA from 1 species
GCCAUGGGAACUGCAAGAGUUCGCUUCGUGGUCCUUGUUCUGAUCUCUACGUUUCUCAGAGUCAGAGAAGGCAGAGCCGCGACAUUCACGUUCGUGAACCGGUGCACGGGGACGGUGUGGCCGGGCAUCCAGUCCAACGCCGGAAGCUCGAGGCUGGACACGACGGGCUUCGUGCUGCCGCCGGGCACGUCGCGCGCGGUCCCGGCGCCGUCGGGGUGGUCCGGCCGCGUCUGGGCCCGCACCGGCUGCGGGCAGGACGGCAGCGGCAAGGUGGUGUGCGCGACGGGCGACUGCGGGUCCGGGUCCCUGGAGUGCAACGGGCAGAACGCGGCGACGCCUGCGACGCUGGCCGAGUUCACGCUGGCCUCCGCGGGCGGCAACGACUUCUACGACGUGAGCCUGGUGGACGGCUACAACCUGCCGAUCCUGGUGGAGCCCGCGGGCGGCGCCGCCACCGGCGCCAGUGCCACGACGUGCGCCGCGGCCGGGUGCACGGCGGACCUCAACGAGCGGUGCCCCGCGGAGCUGCGCGCCGAGGGCGGCGCCGGGUGCCGCAGCGCCUGCGACGCCUUCGGCAGGCCCGAGUACUGCUGCAGCGGCGCCUACGCCAACCCCAACACCUGCCGCCCCACCGCCUACUCGCAGCUCUUCAAGUCCGCCUGCCCCAACUCGUACAGCUACGCAUACGACGACCCCACCAGCACCUUCACCUGCGCCGGCGGCCGCGACUACACCAUCACCUUCUGCCCCGUCGCCACCCCAAGCGUGAAAUCGUCGAGUGGCCCUGGAGCGGCAACAACGACGGCGGCACCGACAGGCCCGACGCCGACGCUGCCGGGGGCGACGCCGCGGUCGGCAGGCGGCGGCCCGGAGGGGCAGGGCGUGAUGCUGGGCGACAACUCCUGGCUCGCCAGCCUCGCCACGGGCGACGCGUCGUCCGCGCCGGCGCUCCGGGCCUUGCCCCUCGCGCCGCUCCUGCUCGUCGGCCUGCUCCUGCUUGUGCUGCUAUAGCACCACCAGCGGGAAACCCAGGCAACCGACCGCGUCACGGGCGUGUGAGGCGAAAGCUUUUGAUCUCGGACAGCCUACCGAACGCGCGCGCUCCUGCUACGUUUGAUGAAUCAUCUCCUAGUCACGGUGCAGGCGUGCAGUGCGGCGGAUGAUUUUGACGGCUAGCCGAAUGCGCGCACCCCCAUCCCCAGUCAGCAGCUGAAGGAAAAAAAGUUUAAGUGGCCUACUCAUGGAUGAGGUGGCUGCAGCAUGGACUAGACACAAAUACUAUUAGUGCUGAUGGUGUAUAGUACCGCUGCCGCUUUAAAGUAGUGUACAGUGCAGUGCAGCUCUGAUGGCGCUGUCCCUCGGCACAUGGGAGGAGAUGUGCCAUGCCAUGCCAUCUGAUCUGUGCUUGCGGAUCAAUCAAAUACUACGUACGUGUCUACGUAUAUAGCGUGGUGGGGAGGACAUGGGCGCGGUGAUGAGAAUUGAGAUGAUGCCCGCUGAUCUGGUCCACUGCUUUUGAGUUUUGAGUGAAGCCAAAGGAAGGAAGGAUCGGUGCCGCCAGGCGUUCAUGCCUCCCUAUAAUCCCUAUAACCAUUUCUGAGCUGCGUCGUA